CGGGGAUUGGCGCAGUGGUAGCGCGCACGGUUCGGGACCGUGAGGUCGUGAGUUCAAAUCUCACAUCCCCGACCA
rnacentral:tRNA from 1 species